rnacentral:sRNA from 1 species
CGCCAGUUUCAAAUUUAGCGGCGUUUGCCCUGAUUCCCGGGGCCUGGCUUUCAGCGUAGCAAUUCAGCUGGCGAAGAAGGUGAGGGCAGUGCUGUGUGGCAGCAGAGCUCCUUAAGACGAGGAGCAGCGGGACGAGGAAGGGCAGACUCUGGUGAAAUCGCAAACUGGGCGUCUGUUCCGGCCCGGGACUCCUGUAUGUAAAGGUCCAUGGCUAAUGAAACACAGAAGGUUGGUGCCAUCCGUUUUCCUUUUCCCUUCACGCCCUAUUCCAUCCAGGAAGACUUCAUGGCAGAGCUGUACCGGGUUUUGGAGGCUGGCAAGAUUGGGAUAUUUGAGAGUCCAACUGGCACUGGGAAGUCUUUAAGUCUUAUUUGUGGGGCCCUCUCCUGGCUCCGUGACUUUGAACAGAAGAAGCGUGAAGAAGAGGCACGACUCCUUGAAACUGGAACUGGCCCCUUACAUGAUGAGAAAGAUGAAUCCCUGUGUCUGUCUUCUUCCUGCGAAGGGGCUGCAGGCACCCCGAGGCCUGCUGGAGAACCGGCCUGGGUUACUCAGUUUGUGCAGAAGAAAGAAGAGAGGGACCUGGUGGACCGACUAAAGGCAGAGCAGGCCAGGAGGAAGCAGCGAGAAGAACGCCUACAGCAGCUGCAGCACAGGGUGCAGCUCAAGUAUGCAGCCAAGCGCCUGAGGCAGGAAGAAGAAGAAACGGAGAAUCUCCUCCGCCUCAGCAGGGAGAUGCUAGAGACAGGCCUGGGGGCUGAGCGGCCGGAGCAGCUGGAGUCUGGGGAGGAGGAGCUGGUCCUUGCCGAAUACGAGAGUGAUGAGGAGAAAAAGGCGGCGAGCGGAGUGGAUGAGGAUGAGGAUGACCUGGAGGAAGAACACGUAACUAAGAUUUAUUACUGUAGUCGGACACACUCCCAGCUGGCCCAGUUUGUGCAUGAGGUGAAGAAGAGCCCCUUUGGCAAGGAUGUUCGGCUGGUCUCCCUCGGCUCCCGGCAGAACCUUUGUGUAAAUGAAGACGUGAAAAGCCUAGGUUCUGUGCAGCUUAUCAACGACCGCUGUGUGGACAUGCAGAGGAGCAGGCACGGUAGCCACCGGGACCAUGGUGUAGCCAUAGGCAGUCUGGAGAGAGUGAGGGGGGGUGGCAGUGACUGAAGACCAUUAAGUGUCUUGCAUAGAAAGAAUGGCAGAGGAGACCCCAGUUCCUUCCUGAGUCCCCUCUUCCUUGGGAAAAAGUGUUCCUACUCUCUGGGUCAGUGUCUGGUCCGAAUCCUUGGCUUGGAGAUGAUUUUACAGGCUCUUUCUGGAAAACAAAAGUAAAACCUUAUAGUGUUCUGAUGAGACCACAGUAGGCAGUAUUUGGGAGGGUCUUACAGACCCCACCCCAUGGAAGUGGGUCUCAACAUUACAGAACCCCCUCUCGGGCCCGUGGACAGUUGCUGUCUUCUCUGUUUUCUCUCUUUGUGCCUGUGCCACCCUCAGAGAAGAAAGGAGCUGAGGAGGAGAAGCCAAAGAGAAGGAGGCAGGAGAAGCAGGUGGCCUGCCCCUUCUACAACCAUGAGCAGAUGGGCCUCCUCCGGGACGAGGCCCUGGCAGAGGUGAAGGAUAUUGAGCAGCUGCUGGCCCUUGGGAAGGAGGCCCGUGCCUGUCCCUAUUACGGGAGCCGCCUUGCCAUCCCUGCAGCCCAGCUGGUGGUGCUGCCCUAUCAGAUGCUGCUGCAUGCGGCCACUCGGCAGGCUGCGGGCAUCCGGCUGCAGGACCAGGUGGUGAUCAUCGACGAGGCGCACAACCUGAUCGACACCAUCACGGGCAUGCACAGCGUGGAGGUCAGCGGCUCCCAGCUCUGCCAGGCCAUUCCCAGCUGCUGCAAUACAUGGAGCGAUACGGGAAGCGUUUGAAGGCCAAGAACCUGAUGUACCUGAAGCAGAUCCUAUAUUUGCUGGAGAAAUUCGUGGCCGUGCUGGGGGGGAACAUUAAGCAAAAUCCCAAUACACAGAGCCUGUCACAGACAGGGACGGAGCUGAAGACCAUCAACGACUUUCUCUUCCAGAGCCAGAUCGACAACAUCAACCUGUUCAAGGUGCAGCGAUACUGUGAGAAGAGCAUGAUCAGCAGAAAGCUCUUUGGAUUCACUGAACGGUACGGAGCAGUGCUCUCAUCCCGGGAGCAGCCCAAACUGGCUGGGUUUCAGCAAUUCCUGCAGAGCCUGCAGCCCAGGACGACUGAAGCUCUUGCAGCCCCUGCAGACGAGAGUCAGGCCAGCGCCCCACGACCAGCUUCCCCACUGAUGCACAUCGAAGGCUUCCUGGCAGCUCUCACUGCGGCCAACCAGGACGGCAGGGUCAUCCUGAGCCGCCAAGGCAGCCUCAGUCAGAGCACCCUGAAAUUUCUGCUCCUGAAUCCAGCUGUGCACUUUGCCCAAGUGGUGAAGGAAUGCCGGGCAGUGGUCAUUGCGGGGGGGACCAUGCAGCCGGUGUCUGACUUCCGGCAGCAGCUGCUGGCCUGUGCAGGGGUGGAAGCUGAGCGCGUGGUGGAGUUUUCUUGUGACAACAUCCUGCCCCUUGUCAUCUGCAGUGGGAUCUCCAACCAGCCGCUGGAAUUCACCUUCCAGAAAAGAGAGCUGCCUCAGAUGAUGGACGAGGCGGGUCGCAUCCUCUGUAACCUCUGCGGUGUGGUUCCUGGAGGGGUGGUCUGUUUCUUCCCCUCCUACGAGUACCUGCGCCAGGUCCAUGCCCACUGGGAGAAGGGUGGCCUGCUGGGCCGUCUGGCUGCCAGGAAGAAGAUAUUCCAGGAACCUAAGAGCGCACACCAGGUGGAGCAGGUGCUGGUGGCGUAUUCCAGGUGCAUCCAGGCCUGUGGCCAGGAGAGAGGCCGGGUGACAGGGGCCCUGCUCCUCUCUGUGGUUGGAGGAAAGAUGAGUGAAGGGAUCAACUUCUCUGACAACCUAGGCCGGUGUGUGGUGAUGGUGGGCAUGCCCUUCCCCAACAUCAGGUCUCCAGAGCUGCAGGAGAAGAUUGCUUACUUGGAUCAAACCCUUCCCAGAGCCCCAGGCCAGGCGCCCCCAGGGAAGGCUCUGGUGGAGAACCUGUGUAUGAAGGCUGUCAACCAGUCCAUAGGCAGGGCCAUCAGGCACCAGAAGGAUUUUGCCAGCAUAGUGCUCCUGGACCAGCGGUAUGCCCGGCCCCCUGUCCUGGCCAAGCUGCCGGCCUGGAUCCAAGCCCAUGUGGAGGUCAAAGCUACCUUUGGCCCCGCCAUUGCUGCUGUGCAGAAGGUCAGUCCUACCUUUUUCUUUCUGAGAGCCUCCCCACCCCGAGAUCACAUUUCUCACUGCCUUCUGUCUGUCUGUCCAGUUUCACCGGGAGAAGUCGGCCUCUUCCUGAUGGGCAACCACACCACUGCCUGGCGCCGCACACUUCCUUUGUCCCGCCCGCUGGAGACAGUGUUUGUCAUGGGCCUGGUCUGCAGGGAUCCUGUUACAAAGGUGAAACCCAGGAGGAGAGUGUGGAGUCCAGAGCGCUGCCAGGACGCAGGCGCAGGCAUUAGCUCCCGUAGGAGAAAAUAGGGGAAUCCUGAAGUAACAGUGGGUCCUGGCUGUCCUUGGGGCGUUCCAGGGCAGCUCCCCUCCUGGAAUAGAAUCUUUCUUUCCAUCCUGCGUGGCCGAGAGCCAGGCUUCCUGCCUG